ensembl:lncRNA
AUGCCAUACACUUUUAGAGCUCCACACGCUAAACGUCGCAAGAUCAAGAUCUCCACAUCCAUAAAGUCUGGCGGCACUAAGGACCAGGUCACAGAAGAACCAAAAAAUGCCAGUCACAAGGCUACAACUGGGCCAAAUCCCAGUGCCUCGGGGGCAGAGAAGGCAGCACCCCAAGUACACAGCAAAAAAACCAACAAGGGCACCAUUAAAAGAGCACGCGGUCCUGAUCCUUGCUCCAAAGACACUUCUAGUAGUAAGAAUAAGCAAUUAGUUCAGAUUCCAGUAGGUAGUCGCCAAAUUUGGGAGGAAUUAUGUCACCAGGGUAAAGAUCAUUUAGGCUCAAACAAGCAAGCCAGAUUCGAAGUUAUUUGCCCACAUCAUACUAGAAUUCAUUUCAUCCCUGAUGACCAGACCACAUAUAUACUCAAAAGACACCUAAAGGUACCAUCAUCAGCCCCUGAAAAUGAAGCACAAAAACAAUGGGAAAAUUUUUCUCAUGAUUAUAAGCACCAAAUCAUUCCAGUGUACCAUCAACAGCAGGCACAGGCAGCUCUGGACUUUGUCUCUAGGACCUUAGUACCACUCUACCAAAGAGCUAUAAAAUGUGAGGAAUCCAUAAACAAGGCUAUAAGAAGACAAUUAAAUAAAAACAACUGGGAGAACUUUUUCCAGUGCCAUGAUCACCAUCUUGCAAUUCCGCUGUGUCGUCAAAAUCAGGCACGAGCCGCCUUGGACCUUUUCUCUGAGGUUUCACUUCCACGAAACCACAUACACCUAAAAUCUGCAGGACCCCGCUUUGUGAGAAAGUCUGCUAAAAAGUUAAACAAGAGAAGCUGGACAAAAUGUCCUUGUGACUACGAUCACCAUGUCACAAUUCCACUGUGUCACCUGCACCAGGUUCAGGACCUCAUCCCAAGGAUAUUACUCCCACCAGACCACAUACACACAAAAUAUGAGGCGCCCUUGAACAUGAUCUUUGAGUGUCAAAGAAAAUGUCAUCCCUUUACCAGGCCUCUGCCUGGUCCUCUCUAUUCAUCCAGGCCUCUGCUGAUAAAGGCUCUACCCAUCCCUGAUUGUUGGACCCCAGAGACUCUACCGAUUUCUGAGCGUCACUCAAAGACUCCAUUUCAUCUCAGUAUCCAAGACAUACCAGCACCUCAAAAACUUACUUUAAAUUUAACCAAGGUUCCAAAAUGCCAUCACUAUCAGGCUAAGUCUUCACGAGUCUCUGACUACCAACCUGGGUACCAAUACAAGAUCCAGCCUGAGCAGAGUAGAGGCAGAGCCAGGUGUUUAUAUGACAUCAAACCUUACCACAGUCAGGGGCUAACUUACCCUACAAAAUCUGUUGAUGACAUCAGUAGGUCCAUCCCCAAGAAAAAAGUAGAGAGUGACCUCUAUAGCCAGGUUCACUUGAGAGAGAUGAGGCAAUGCCCCCGCCCUGCCCAUUGGCCUAAUCGAUACUUGUCUCCUCAUUAUAACACCUGUUCAGUGUGUACCUCAUUGAGCUCACAUGCUUGUCCUCAUGUUGAUAGAAUGAAAUCUCCUCCAGUAAAACUGGUCACUGUACCAACGUCCUUGCCUGGGCCACAGAAGAUGCAUGUCACAUAUUUCCACAAAGUGCCCCAGUCAAAGGCAAACCCUAGUUCCAAACUCCUCCCAGGUCCUCUUUCUUGUAAAUCCAGACCCUUACGCCUUUCACCAGUUUUUCCCUCAUGCUCUCACUCAGAUCCUGCCUCCCGGCCUCCUGUGAAACGCAAGGUUACUUGGCUUGAUCUCAUCCAUGGCAAAUCUGACCAGCCAAAGGAGAAGAAGACCUAUCCAAGUCAAAAGCCAUUUUGGAAAGAGAGACCUUUCUCAAACAAGAACGCCCAAGAAGAGACAUCAAGGAGGCAAAAGAUAUGUUCCAUGUCUUUGUUAGAUAAAUUUGAAAACAUCAACUGUCAACUAACUGCCACCCGUGAACAGAAUCCCUGGAAUCACAGUAAUCUCCAGACCCCUGAUCUUACAGUCACUAUUCUGAGCAAGAACAGGGAAGAUGUGGAGAAGGGCCGGCUAUUUUCACAACCCCAGUUUUCAACUGCCAACCAGCCACCACUUCUCAGUCAGGCAAGGCAGCACAGUGAAGAAAGCAGCAGGAUAUUAUGAGGGUAAUAAGCUUCAAUUACAUGAGAAAUUGAAAUACAUGGAAUAUGUUAUUGAAAAAUUACCUCAGAUGAAUGAAGACCUGAUGGGAUAGUUUUCAUAAUAAUCAG